rnacentral:lncRNA from 1 species
CUCAUCUCAAUUGCCUCAUCUGUGUCACCCAUAACAAUUCUCACUGCCUUCUCUAUUUUGUCUCUGUUAAUCAAUGGUGAGUCCUCAUUUGCCCACACUUUCCAAGUCUCAUUGCCAACUGGCACUCCUAAUUUAAGCACCUGAGUUAUGAGCUUCUCAUUGUAAAACUGCUCUGCAAAAAUUGGCCAUGUGACCAUGGGCUGACCGGCACAAACACCUUCAAGAAUAGAGUUCCAGCCGCAGUGAGUUAAAAACCCUCCAAUUGCUGGGUGCUCCAGUAUUAGCAGCUGCGGGGCCCAUCCCUUUAUAAUCAAUCCUUUGCCACUGUUCUUCAACCUGUCUUCAUACUCUUCUGGCAGCCACCAGUCCUGCUGCCGAUCCAGGUUGUUAUCUUCGUUGUCAGAUUUCAGGAUUUUUCCUACAGCCCAAAUGAAAGAGUGCCUCGACUCUUCAAGUGCACUAGCAAUUUCUGAUAUUUGAAUCUUGCUAAAUCUGGUCAGGCUUCCGAAACAAAUGUAGAGAACGGACUUUGGUUUCUUGGAUUCCAGCCAAUCCAGGCAGCUAUGUUUACGUAUUGAAGUCUUGCC